UCAAGUGACUAAGAGCAUAUGGUGGAUGCCUUGGCGAUUACAGGCGAUGAAAGACGUGAUAGCCUGCGAAAAGCUUCGGGGAGCUGGCAAAUAAGCUUUGAUCCGGAGAUGUCUGAAUGGGGAAACCCACCCGCAAGGGUAUCAACAGCUCAAUACAUAGGCUGUUGAAGCGAACCUGGAGAACUGAAACAUCUAAGUACCCAGAGGAAAAGAAAUCAACCGAGAUUCCGAUAGUAGUGGCGAGCGAAUUCGGAAGAGCCUUCUAGUGAUAGUCGACGAGUUAACAAAACGGCAUGGAAAGGCCGGCCAUAGUAGGUGAUAGCCCUGUAUGUGAAAACUUGUCGGUGGUACUGAGCUAGAGAAAAGUAGGGCGGGACACGUGUAAUCCUGUCUGAAUAUGGGGGGACCAUCCUCCAAGGCUAAAUACUCGUGAUCGACCGAUAGUGAACCAGUACCGUGAGGGAAAGGCGAAAAGAACCCCGGGAGGGGAGUGAAAUAGAACCUGAAACCGUAUGCUUACAAAAAGUCGGAGCCUCGUAAGGGGUGACGGCGUACCUUUUGUAUAAUGGGUCAGCGACUUACAUUCAGUGGCAAGCUUAACCGAGUAGGGAAGGCGUAGAGAAAUCGAGUCCGAAUAGGGCGUUUUUAGUCGCUGGGUGUAGACCCGAAACCAAGUGAUCUAACCAUGGCCAGGAUGAAGGUGCCGUAACAGGUACUGGAGGUCCGAACCGACUGAUGUUGCAAAAUCAGCGGAUGAGCUGUGGUUAGGGGUGAAAGGCUAAACAAACUUGGAAAUAGCUGGUUCUCUCCGAAAACUAUUUAGGUAGUGCCUCAAGUAUUACCUGCGGGGGUAGAGCACUGUUUUGGCUAGGGGGUCAUGGCGACUUACCAAACCAAGGCAAACUCCGAAUACCGCAGAGUACAGCUUGGGAGACAGAGCACCGGGUGCUAACGUCCGGACUCAAGAGGGAAACAACCCAGACCGCCAGCUAAGGUCCCUAAAAUUGGCUAAGUGGGAAACGAAGUGGGAAGGCUAAAACAGUCAGGAUGUUGGCUUAGAAGCAGCCAUCAUUUAAAGAAAGCGUAAUAGCUCACUGAUCGAGUCGUCCUGCGCGGAAGAUGUAACGGGGCUAAGCCAGUUACCGAAGCUGCGGAUGUGCAAUUUAUUGCACGUGGUAGGAGAGCGUUCUGUAAGCCUGUGAAGGUGUCUGGUAACGGAUGCUGGAGGUAUCAGAAGUGCGAAUGCUGACAUGAGUAGCGUUAAAAGGGGUGAAAAGCCCCUUCGCCGUAAGCGCAAGGUUUCCUACGCAACGUUCAUCGGCGUAGGGUGAGUCGGCCCCUAAGGCGAGGCAGAGAUGCGUAGCUGAUGGGAAACAGGUCAAUAUUCCUGUACCGAUCAAUAGUGCGAUGUGGGGACGGAGAAGGUUAGCUCAGCCACCUGUUGGAAUAGGUGGUUCAAGCGUGUAGUCGUGCCUGGUAGGCAAAUCCGCCGGGCUUAGAUGAGGCGUGAUAACGAGUGUGCUUGCACACGAAGUGAGUGAUACCCUGCUUCCAGGAAAAGCCACUAAGCUUCAGCUAUUGAUUGACCGUACCGCAAACCGACACUGGUGCGCGAGAUGAGUAUUCUAAGGCGCUUGAGAGAACUCUGGAGAAGGAACUCGGCAAAUUGAUACCGUAACUUCGGGAGAAGGUAUGCCCUCGGUAUGUGAAGUUGAACAAACGGAGCAGAAAAGGGUUGCAAAAAAUCGGUGGCUGCAACUGUUUAAUAAAAACACAGCACUCUGCAAACACGAAAGUGGACGUAUAGGGUGUGACGCCUGCCCGGUGCUGGAAGAUUAAAUGAUGGGGUGCAAGCUCUUGAUUGAAGUCCCAGUAAACGGCGGCCGUAACUAUAACGGUCCUAAGGUAGCGAAAUUCCUUGUCGGGUAAGUUCCGACCUG
rnacentral:rRNA from 1 species